UAUUCUGCCCUACGGGGAAGGAUGAGAAGCUUCGACUAAGGUUCGACUCGAGCGUCAGCGAGAGAACGUUGCCGCAGGCAACGGCCCGAAGGGCGAGGCGCUUUAGCGCCGAGUAAUCCUU
rnacentral:sRNA from 1 species